rnacentral:tRNA from 1 species
AUCAGGAAAUAGUUUAUUAAAAAUUUUAAUUUUGGAGGUUAAAGAUGGAGUUGUCUCUUUUCCUGA